AUGGACGACAUCAUCGCGACAGGAUCGACCGCGGCCGCCGCCUCUCCCGGGUUCGCCACCCAGGACGAGGUAGUGGAUCUCAGCGGCGACAUGGAGGCCGAGCUCGGCUACGUCUACGGCGAGGACGCGCAGGAACCCGAGGAGGAGGAGGAGGAGCCGGCUCCUGUUCCGACGAAGGGGCGCCAGAAGAAAAAGAAGAGGGCGGCCAGGUCAGGCGAACCGCGCAUCAAGUGGACGUCCAAGGAGGAGGAAUGCCUCGUCGAAGCAUGGAAAGUCGUCUACCUCGACCCGACCACCGGCGCGAACCAGAGCUUGAAGACGUACUGGGACCGCAUCAAGGCCGAGUUCGACUAG
rnacentral:rRNA from 1 species